GUGAGAAAGGUGAGGAGUGUGUGAGACAGGUGAGGAGUGUGUGAGACAGGUGAGGUGUGUGUGAGACAGGUGAGGUGUGUGAGAGACAGGUGAGGUGUGUGUGAGACAGGUACAGGGUGAGACAGGUGAGGUGUGUGUGAGACAGGUGAGGUGUGUGUGAGACAGGUACAGGGUGAGACAGGUGAGGUGUGUGUGAGACAGGUGAGGUGUGUGUGAGACAGGUACAGGGUGAGACAGGUGAGGUGUGUGUGAGACAGGUGCAGGGUGAGACAGGUGAGGUGUGUGUGAGACCGGUACAGGGUGCGACAGGUGAGGAGUGUGUGAGACAGGUGAGGUGUGUGUGAGACAGGUGAGGUGUGUGUGAGACAGGUACAGGGUGAGACAGGUGAGGUGUGUGUGAGACAGGUGAGGAGUGUGUGAGACAGGUACAGGGUGAGACAGGUGAGGAGUGUGUGAGACAGGUGAGGAGUGUGUGAGACAGGUGAGGAGUGUGUGAGACAGGUGAGGUGUGUGUGAGACAGGUGAGGGGUGUGUGAGACAGGUGAGGAGUGUGAGACAGGUGAGGAGUGUGUGAGACAGGUGAGAAGUGUGUGAGACAGGUGAGGAGUGUGAGACAGGUGAGGAGUGUGAGACAGGUGAGGAGUGUGUGAGACAGGUGAGCUGAUGUAAAUCUGCAG
ensembl:lncRNA